AUCCAAUGGCAUGUUCUAGACCAACUUAAUGCAAAAAGUCUGGCUAUGGAUAAAAAAGUUCAAUCCCCAAAGGGACAUACCCAGGAUCAUGAUUCAGAGCUGGAAAGGACUCCAGAAGGCGGCUAAUCAGAUCUCUCCAUUUGACGGACCAAUGGAUUCAAGAACAUCUGGACAUGGGAAGCAAUGAGAACCCUGAUGAGAAAGGAUAUCAAAGGGGAGUCCUGCAAAAGAAAAAUAUAAAGCAGUCAGAACUAUGAAAUAUAGAAGGUACCAGAGAACGGACAUAAAGAGAUCAGGUGUGCCAUUUGGAUGAAGUCAACUCCAACCAGGAUUCAUGGGAUGGUAGGUGUUCUGUGGUAAAAUGGCUUAAAAUAGACCCUUUCUGGGUGAGGUACAAGGAGGUGGAUACAAAGAAGAUAGCCUCCAAGUAUCUUCUUUCCUCAAAAUGAAUGUCCCACCUUGCUAGACAGCCAUCAAAACAUCUAGGACAUGGACUUUUCAGUGCAAUGGGGUGGGGGUGGGUGGGCAGGACUGCCUUUAACAGUGACUUUCCUCAUUAAAUAAGGGCUAGAGGAGAGAACUUCAUAUAUAUGGAUUGCAGAAGGCAGUGGCUAUUGUACUUCUAAGGACCAAACUAAUUUCUGUAGCAAAUUAUAUACUUCAAAAUGCUUUCCUUGUUGCAACCCUGAAACAGAAAUAGAGUUCAUUUUAGAUAUAAGAAAGUGGAGCCUUAUGAGGGAGGAAAUGACUUGCUGAUCAUCACAUUAAGAGUAAAUGAUAA